CGUCGUUUUGGAUUUCCCGUAUCCAAACAUUUCUCGCGUUUUCAACUUCGUGGACCUUUAGUGGUUUUCCCUUACAUGCGUUGCCCUUUUGCAGGGUAUUAACGAAGCGAAGUACCCAUGCUGUAGUUCGCAGUAGUCGUUAAAGGUCACUGAAUUUGGUAGGUGGAAUAAUCUGGGUUAUGCUGGCGUUUGUAGAUGUGUCGGUGACUUCGGCAGUGACUUUGCUCGUUUCUUGAUCUUCGUCGAGGCAGGACUGCAGAAGAACGUUGUUAGGUUUC